UCGGGAAAUUGAUAUUUACCG
rnacentral:piRNA from 1 species